UACAGAGGUCCCAAGCGUUAUUCGGAUUCACUGGGCGUAAAGGGUGCGCAGGCGGCCAAGUGUGUGAGGCGUGAAAGCCCGGGGCUUAACCCCGGAAUUGCACCUCAAACUACAUGGCUAGAGCAUUGGAGAGGGUAGCAGAAUUCAUGGUGUAGCAGUGAAAUGCGUAGAUAUCAUGAGGAAUACCAGAGGCGAAGGCGGCUACCUGGACAAUUGCUGACGCUCAGGCACGAAAGCGUGGGGAGCAAAAGGG
rnacentral:rRNA from 1 species